rnacentral:rRNA from 1 species
CGUAGGUGGUAGUGCAAGUCUGGGGUGGAAUCCCAGGGCUUAACCCUGGAACUGCCUUGGAAACUGUAUUACUUGAGUCAGUGAGGGGAGGGUAGAAUUCCUGGUGUAGCGGUGAAAUGCGUAGAUAUCAGGAGGAAGGCCUGUGGCGAAGGCGGCCCUCUGGCGCUGAACUGACACUGAGGCACGAAAGCGUGGGGAGCAAACAGGAUUAGAUACCCUGGUAGUCCACGCCCUAAACGGUGGGUACUAGGUGUAGGGCUCGUAAGGGUUCUGUGCCGAAGCGAAAGCAUUAAGUACCCCGCCUGGGGAGUACGGCCGCAAGGUUGAA